CAAAAGGCCCUUCUCAGGGCCACCCACUUGGUCACACGAAGGGCUG
rfam:Equus caballus chromosome 20, whole genome shotgun sequence.